AAAGGACGAAGUUUUUCAAGGCAGGCAGUUCAGAGGUCGCGGGUUCGAUUCAUGGGACUCUUGGAAGGCAAGUCUUUCUCCUGGAAGGCAGGAUAUUUCCUGGAAGGCAGGAGUUCCUUGGAAGGCAAGGCGCAUACAUGGGUUUGACUCGCUCGGCACUUUGGCAGUUCAGUUGGGGGCUCUUGGACCCUGACCGAUUUGGGGCACAACCUGCGGUUUACCUGGUCUGCG
rnacentral:lncRNA from 1 species